rnacentral:rRNA from 1 species
AAAACGGAGAGUUUGAUCCUGGCUCAGGAUGAACGCUGGCGGUAUGCUUAACACAUGCAAGUCGAACGGUGCUUUAGGGCACAGUGGCGGACGGGUGAGUAACGCGUGAGAAUCUGGCUUCAGGUCUGGGACAACCACUGGAAACGGUGGCUAAUACCGGAUGUGCCCUUCGGGGUGAAAGAUUAAUUGCCUGAAGAUGAGCUCGCGUCUGAUUAGCUAGUUGGAAGUGUAAUGGACUCCCAAGGCGACGAUCAGUAGCUGGUCUGAGAGGACGAUCAGCCACACUGGGACUGAGACACGGCCCAGACUCCUACGGGAGGCAGCAGUGGGGAAUUUUCCGCAAUGGGCGAAAGCCUGACGGAGCAAUACCGCGUGAGGGAGGAAGGCUCUUGGGUCGUAAACCUCUUUUCUCAGGGAAGAACACAAUGACGGUACCUGAGGAAUAAGCAUCGGCUAACUCCGUGCCAGCAGCCGCGGUAAUACGGAGGAUGCAAGCGUUAUCCGGAAUGAUUGGGCGUAAAGCGUCCGCAGGUGGCAAUGUAAGUCUGCUGUUAAAGAGUCUAGCUCAACUAGAUACAAGCAGUGGAAACUACAUAGCUAGAGUACGUUCGGGGCAGAGGGAAUUCCUGGUGUAGCGGUGAAAUGCGUAGAGAUCAGGAAGAACACCAGUGGCGAAGGCGCUCUGCUAGGCCGUAACUGACACUGAGGGACGAAAGCUAGGGGAGCGAAUGGGAUUAGAUACCCCAGUAGUCCUAGCCGUAAACGAUGGAUACUAGGCGUGGCUUGUAUCGACCCGAGCCGUGCCGUAGCUAACGCGUUAAGUAUCCCGCCUGGGGAGUACGCCGGCAACGGUGAAACUCAAAGGAAUUGACGGGGGCCCGCACAAGCGGUGGAGUAUGUGGUUUAAUUCGAUGCAACGCGAAGAACCUUACCAAGGCUUGACAUGUCGCGAAUCUUCUCGAAAGGGAAGAGUGCCUUCGGGAGCGCGAACACAGGUGGUGCAUGGCUGUCGUCAGCUCGUGUCGUGAGAUGUUGGGUUAAGUCCCGCAACGAGCGCAACCCUCGUUUUUAGUUGCCAGCAUUAAGUUGGGCACUCUAGAGAGACUGCCGGUGACAAACCGGAGGAAGGUGGGGAUGACGUCAAGUCAGCAUGCCCCUUACGCCUUGGGCUACACACGUACUACAAUGCUCCGGACAGAGGGCAGCAAGCAUGCGAAUGCAAGCAAAUCCCGUAAACCGGAGCUCAGUUCAGAUCGCAGGCUGCAACUCGCCUGCGUGAAGGAGGAAUCGCUAGUAAUUGCAGGUCAGCAUACUGCAGUGAAUUCGUUCCCGGGCCUUGUACACACCGCCCGUCACACCAUGGAAGCUGGUAGUGCCCGAAGUCAUUACUCCAACCUUUCGGGGAGGAGGAUGCCUAAGGCAGGACUGGUGACUGGGGUGAAGUCGUAACAAGGUAGCCGUACCGGAAGGUGUGGCUGGAUCACCUCCUUU